rnacentral:rRNA from 1 species
UACGGAGGGUCCAAGCGUUAUCCGGAAUCAUUGGGUUUAAAGGGUCCGUAGGCGGUUUUGUAAGUCAGUGGUGAAAGCCCAUCGCUCAACGGUGGAACGGCCAUUGAUACUGCAAGACUUGAAUUAUUAGGAAGUAACUAGAAUAUGUAGUGUAGCGGUGAAAUGCUUAGAGAUUACAUGGAAUACCAAUUGCGAAGGCAGGUUACUACUAAUAUAUUGACGCUGAUGGACGAAAGCGUGGGUAGCGACCAGG